UCCAGGGUAGCCUAGUGGACAUGGCAUCUGCCCAGUAAGCGGAACAAUGUGGGUUCGAUUCCCAUCCCUGGAC
rnacentral:tRNA from 1 species